rnacentral:rRNA from 1 species
GACGAACGCUGGCGGCGUGCUUAACACAUGCAAGUCGAACGGAAAGGCCCUGCUUUUGUGGGGUGCUCGAGUGGCGAACGGGUGAGUAACACGUGAGUAACCUGCCCUUGACUUUGGGAUAACUUCAGGAAACUGGGGCUAAUACCGGAUAGGAGCUCCUGCUGCAUGGUGGGGGUUGGAAAGUUUCGGCGGUUGGGGAUGGACUCGCGGCUUAUCAGCUUGUUGGUGGGGGAGUGGCUUACCAAGGCUUUGACGGGUAGCCGGCCUGAGAGGGUGACCGGCCACAUUGGGACUGAGAUACGGCCCAGACUCCUACGGGGGGCAGCAGUGGGGAAUAUUGCACAAUGGGCCGAAGCCUGAUGCAACAACGCCGCGUGCGGGAUGACGGCCUUCGGGGUGGAAACCGCUUUCGGCUGUGACGAAGCGUGAAUGACGGUAAUGGGUAAAGAAGCACCGGCUAACUACGUG